rnacentral:lncRNA from 1 species
GAGUCAGUGUGGAGGCUAAAUACAGGGGGUACCGGUACAGAGUCAAUGUGGAGGCUAUAUACAGGGGGUACCGGUACAGAGUCAGUGUGGAGGCUAUAUACAGGGGGUACCGGUACCGAGUCAGUGUGGAGGUUAUAUACAGGGGGUACCGGUACAGAGUCAGUGUGGAGGCUAUAUACAGGGGGUACCGGUACAGAGUCAAUGUGGAGGCUAUAUACAGGGGGUACCGGUACAGAGUCAGUGUGGAGGCUAUAUACAGGGGGUACCGGUACAGAGUCAAUGUGGAGGCUAUAUACAGGGGGG